AACGCGAAGAACCUUACCUACUCUUGACAUCCUAAGAACGCUGGAGAGAUUCGGCGGUGCCGAAAGGAACUUAGAGACAGGUGCUGCAUGGCUGUCGUCAGCUCGUGUUGUGAGAUGUUGGGUUAAGUCCCGUAACGAGCGCAACCCUUAUCCUUAGUUGCCAGCGCGUAAUGGCGGGGACUCUAAGGAGACUGCUGGUGAAGAACCGGAGGAAGGCGGGGACGACGUCAAGUCAUCAUGGCCUUUAUGAGUAGGGCUACACACGUGCUACAAUGGGUCGUACAGAGGGCAGCGAAACUGCAAAGUGGAGCCAAUCCCAGAAAGCGACUCGUAGUCCGGAUUGAAGUCUGCAACUCGACUUCAUGAAGUCGGAAUCGCUAGUAAUCGCGAAUCAGAACGUCGCGGUGAAUACGUUCCCGGGCCUUGUACACACCGGAGUA
rnacentral:rRNA from 1 species